rnacentral:rRNA from 1 species
GAUGAACGCUGGCGGCGUGCCUAAUACAUGCAAGUCGAGCGAACAGACGAGGAGCUUGCUCCUCUGACGUUAGCGGCGGACGGGUGAGUAACACGUGGAUAACCUACCUAUAAGACUGGUAUAACUUCGGGAAACCGGAGCUAAUACCGGAUAAUAUAUUGAACCGCAUGGUUCAAUAGUGAAAUACGGUUUUGCUGUCACUUAUAGAUGGAUCCGCGCCGCAUUAGCUAGUUGGUAAGGUAACGGCUUACCAAGGCAACGAUGCGUAGCCGACCUGAGAGAGUGAUCGGCCACACUGGAACUGAGACACGGUCCAGACUCCUACGGGAGGCAGCAGUAGGGAAUCUUCCGCAAUGGGCGAAAGCUUGACGGAGCAACGCCGCGUGUGUGAUGAAGGUCUUCGGAUCGUAAAACUCUGUUAUUAGGGAAGAACAAAUGUGUAAGUAACUAUGCACGUCUUGACGGUACCUAAUCAGAAAGCCACGGCUAACUACGUG